rnacentral:rRNA from 1 species
UACGAUUUGAUGCAAGGUUAAGCAGUAAAUGUGGAGCCGUAGCGAAAGCGAGUCUGAAUAGGGCGUUUAGUAUUUGGUCGUAGACCCGAAACCAGGUGAUCUACCCUUGGUCAGGUUGAAGUUCAGGUAACACUGAAUGGAGGACCGAACCGACUUACGUUGAAAAGUGAGCGGAUGAACUGAGGGUAGCGGAGAAAUUCCAAUCGAACCUGGAGAUAGCUGGUUCUCUCCGAAAUAGCUUUAGGGCUAGCCUCAAGUGAUGAUUAUUGGAGGUAGAGCACUGUUUGGACGAGGGGCCCCUCUCGGGUUACCGAAUUCAGACAAACUCCGAAUGCCAAUUAAUUUAACUUGGGAGUCAGAACAUGGGUGAUAAGGUCCGUGUUCGAAAGGGAAACAGCCCAGACCACCAGCUAAGGUCCCAAAAUAUAUGUUAAGUGGAAAAGGAUGUGGCGUUGCCCAGACAACUAGGAUGUUGGCUUAGAAGCAGCCAUCAUUUAAAGAGUGCGUAAUAGCUCACUAGUCGAGUGACACUGCGCCGAAAAUGUACCGGGGCUAAACAUAUUACCGAAGCUGUGGAUUGUCCUUUGGACAAUGGUAGGAGAGCGUUCUAAGGGCGUUGAAGCAUGAUCGUAAGGACAUGUGGAGCGCUUAGAAGUGAGAAUGCCGGUGUGAGUAGCGAAAGACGGGUGAGAAUCCCGUCCACCGAUUGACUAAGGUUUCCAGAGGAAGGCUCGUCCGCUCUGGGUUAGUCGGGUCCUAAGCUGAGGCCGACAGGCGUAGGCGAUGGAUAACAGGUUGAUAUUCCUGUACCACCUAUAAUCGUUUUAAUCGAUGGGGGGACGCAGUAGGAUAGGCGAAGCGUGCGAUUGGAUUGCACGUCUAAGCAGUAAGGCUGAGUAUUAGGCAAAUCCGGUACUCGUUAAGGCUGAGCUGUGAUGGGGAGAAGACAUUGAGUCUUCGAGUCGUUGAUUUCACACUGCCGAGAAAAGCCUCUAGAUAGAAAAUAGGUGCCCGUACCGCAAACCGACACAGGUAGUCAAGAUGAGAAUUCUAAGGUGAGCGAGCGAACUCUCGUUAAGGAACUCGGCAAAAUGACCCCGUAACUUCGGGAGAAGGGGUGCUCUUUAGGGUUAACGCCCAGAAGAGCCGCAGUGAAUAGGCCCAAGCGACUGUUUAUCAAAAACACAGGUCUCUGCUAAACCGUAAGGUGAUGUAUAGGGGCUGACGCCUGCCCGGUGCUGGAAGGUUAAGAGGAGUGGUUAGCUUCUGCGAAGCUACGAAUCGAAGCCCCAGUAAACGGCGGCCGUAACUAUAACGGUCCUAAGGUAGCGAAAUUCCUUGUCGGGUAAGUUCCGACCCGCACGAAAGGCGUAACGAUUUGGGCACUGUCUCAACGAGAGACUCGGUGAAAUCAUAGUACCUGUGAAGAUGCAGGUUACCCGCGACAGGACGGAAAGACCCCGUGGAGCUUUACUGUAGCCUGAUAUUGAAAUUCGGCACAGCUUGUACAGGAUAGGUAGGAGCCUUUGAAACGUGAGCGCUAGCUUACGUGGAGGCGCUGGUGGGAUACUACCCUAGCUGUGUUGGCUUUCUAACCCGCACCACUUAUCGUGGUGGGAGACAGUGUCAGGCGGGCAGUUUGACUGGGGCGGUCGCCUCCUAAAAGGUAACGGAGGCGCUCAAAGGUUCCCUCAGAAUGGUUGGAAAUCAUUCAUAGAGUGUAAAGGCAUAAGGGAGCUUGACUGCGAGACCUACAAGUCGAGCAGGGUCGAAAGACGGACUUAGUGAUCCGGUGGUUCCGCAUGGAAGGGCCAUCGCUCAACGGAUAAAAGCUACCCCGGGGAUAACAGGCUUAUCUCCCCCAAGAGUUCACAUCGACGGGGAGGUUUGGCACCUCGAUGUCGGCUCAUCGCAUCCUGGGGCUGUAGUCGGUCCCAAGGGUUGGGCUGUUCGCCCAUUAAAGCGGUACGCGAGCUGGGUUCAGAACGUCGUGAGACAGUUCGGUCCCUAUCCGUCGUGGGCGUAGGAAAUUUGAGAGGAGCUGUCCUUAGUACGAGAGGACCGGGAUGGACAUACCUCUGGUGUACCAGUUGUCGUGCCAACGGCAUAGCUGGGUAGCUAUGUGUGGACGGGAUAAGUGCUGAAAGCAUCUAAGCAUGAAGCCCCCCUCAAGAUGAGAUUUCCCAACUUCGGUUAUAAGAUCCCUCAAAGAUGAUGAGGUUAAUAGGUUCGAGGUGGAAGCAUGGUGACAUGUGGAGCUGACGAAUACUAAUCGAUCGAAGACUUAAUCAAAA